GGGUUGUGAGGUUAAGCGACUAAGCGUACACGGUGGAUGCCCUGGCAGUCAGAGGCGAUGAAGGGCGUGCUAAUCUGCGAUAAGCGCCGGUAAGGUGAUAUGAACCGUUAUAACCGGCGAUACCCGAAUGGGGAAACCCAGUGUGAUUCGUCACACUAUCAUUAACUGAAUCCAUAGGUUAAUGAGGCGAACCGGGGGAACUGAAACAUCUAAGUACCCCGAGGAAAAGAAAUCAACCGAGAUUCCCCCAGUAGCGGCGAGCGAACGGGGAGGAGCCCAGAGCCUGAAUCAGCAUGUGUGUUAGUGGAAGCGUCUGGAAAGGCGCGCGAUACAGGGUGACAGCCCCGUACACAAAAGCGCAUGUGCUGUGAGCUCGAUGAGUAGGGCGGGACACGUGGUAUCCUGUCUGAAUAUGGGGGGACCAUCCUCCAAGGCUAAAUACUCCUGACUGACCGAUAGUGAACCAGUACCGUGAGGGAAAGGCGAAAAGAACCCCGGCGAGGGGAGUGAAAAAGAA
rnacentral:rRNA from 2 species